rnacentral:lncRNA from 1 species
CCUGAUUCCAACCUGGUGGGAGCCACGGGUGUAUCUGAAGGGAGUUCCGGCUCUCUGCUCUUGCCCAAGAGGAGUGAGUUCUGGACACUGGAAUGGCUCCCAUGCUCCUGACAGCCAGGUCUCCCCAGGACUGGCCGUGUGUAAACCAUGGGUGAUCCACCAGCUGGAGCAAGGGGAGGCUCCUUGGACGCCAGAGAGGAGAGUCCUGGGCAGCGGCCGUCCAGAAAGAAUCCAUAUCCAAGAUUGUCAGUGAAACUGAGGAUCUAUCCUUUUGGCCUCUUAUUAUAGGAGGUUUCUCUGGGUAUCUCCUGACUGAUGGUCAUCUAGCUACUGCCUAAUUUUUCCAAGUACUUUGAGCUUUGCUCUAUUCUGUUUCUUCUGCUAGUUAAACUUGUGACAAUGGAAACUCAAAACAUCUCUCCAGGCUUUGGCUUUCUGUUAAAAACUAAUAAAUGUCUUUCCU